rnacentral:piRNA from 1 species
UGGAGCAGAACCACAUGGAAGCC